rnacentral:rRNA from 1 species
AUUGAACGCUGGCGGCAUGCCUUACACAUGCAAGUCGAACGGCAGCACGGGUGCUUGCACCUGGUGGCGAGUGGCGAACGGGUGAGUAAUACAUCGGAACGUACCUUAUCGUGGGGGAUAACGCAGCGAAAGCUGUGCUAAUACCGCAUACGCCCUGAGGGGGAAAGCGGGGGAUCGCAAGACCUCGCGCGAUUAGAGCGGCCGAUGCCUGAUUAGCUUGUUGGUGGGGUAAAAGCCCACCAAGGCGACGAUCAGUAGCUGGUCUGAGAGGAGGAUCAGCCACACUGGGACUGAGACACGGCCCAGACUCCUACGGGAGGCAGCAGUGGGGAAUUUUGGACAAUGGGGGCAACCCUGAUCCAGCAAUGCCGCGUGAGUGAAAAAGGCCUUCGGGUUGUAAAGCUCUUUUGUCAGGGAAGAAACACCGGCUCUAACACAGUCCGGGAAUGACGGUACCUGAAGAAUAAGCACCGGCUAACUACGUGCCAGCCGCCGCCGUAA